CGCACCUCGUAUAAAACACGGGAGGCGAGAACAAUGAUGGCGACGCCGGCAGAAGAAGUCUGCGAGACUUCUGACAAACACACGACGACCGUGUCGUGCCAGGUGGCCCGGCACAAGCAGGACGCGCCCUGGAAGCUGAGGCUUAUUUACCUGCAGUGCUGGCUUCCUGUUACAAUUGCCCAAGCAGGACUGGCUCCAUUUUUGGUUUCCUUCAUCUUAGGGUUUUUCAUUCAGGCCCUGCUUAUAUAUUUGUUUGUUGACUUGCUGCAGCGAUGCCGAGUUGCCCAAAUGAACAAAUUAAAGACUGCAGAAACUGAGAGGAUUUUACUGCAUGAUGUUGGUACAGAGGAAACAUUUCUUGCUGCCGAGGAAGAGGAGGAAGGGGAAGAAGCUGAAGAGGCAGACAUGGGUCUGUUGCACAGGGACAAUACAGCAAUAGACCUGAAGGAGAAGCUGGAGCCCAAUCUGCAUGUCCUUGGUGUCCUUUUCCUGGGCAAGAACAUGAGCCGUGCCUUCAAUGUUAUUCUUCUUUUUCAGUUUGUUUCCAUUGGGAUCAGCUAUGUCCUGGCAGGCAGUGAGGCCUAUGCAGCACUUUUCAAUGUCAGUCACAUCUACAUCAUUCCCGUGUUCACGUGGACCCUGUCACUUGGAAUUCUCCUUGCACAGGUUGUAAUUCAGCCAAUCACAUCUGUGCUGACCCUCCUGAAAGGUGUCCUGCUUAUCAUCACGGUGGCAGUGACAUUUGUUGUCGGUUCAGAAGUUCACCAGGAGACCACGAACGACUUCGCUCAAAUUGGGAAACCUUUCCUGAUGGGGACCGUUGCUCUGGGUGGAAUUGUCAACGUGAUGCCAUUUCUGUUUUCUCAAAUAUCGCACAGCAAAUCGCAGGUAAUGCAUUCAGGAUACGUUCCACCAUCAUUCCCCAGAUACGAGAUAGUCCAUCUUCAGUCCGUCCAUUACGGACUUUGA
rnacentral:lncRNA from 1 species